UUCUAUGGAUGCCACUAGAAAAAAAAAAAAGGAUCUUUUUGGGUAGAUUCCAUUAAACAGUUGCAAUUUAGGGAAACCUAUAGGCUAUACAUUUGUUCAAUAUGGGGGAACCUAGGCUGUCCAUUGCAAUAUGGGGAAACCUAGGGUUCAGUGAACAAGCCCUAAAAUUUGUCAUUGUUUAAUAAUUGCUACAUAUACUGCAGCUAACGAGUUGAAGAGACAGAAGAGAAGCCUGGUGGGUUUAGAGAAGGAUCAUCUGUAGCAGGAGGACACUAGGCCUGGGACGAACGGAAAGACUUGCACAAACUAUAACAAGAAAGAGUGCCAAGUAUAGUCUUUCCGGAUCCUCCCAUGCCUAUAGCCCUCCCUACAUAUCCUUCUUAUUUCCAUCUGCUCCAACAGAUCUAGUCUAUAGCUGUCUAUUCUGAUGGUUUUUUGUACAAUAAGAUGAGAGUUUGAUUGUUUGACAAACUUUCUACUGUAAUUGUUGGAGGCUUUCGAUUGAUUUUCUGUCAUUCAGCCAAAGGAUGCCAUUUGAUGGAUCUGUUAGCAUUUGGGAAUAAAGAUCCUUGUUUUGUGUCAA